rnacentral:rRNA from 1 species
AUACGGAGGGUGCAAGCGUUACUCGGAAUCAUGGGGCGUAAAGCGCGCGCAGGCGGCUAUUUAAGUUGGAUGUGAAAGCCUACGGCUCAACCGUAGAACUGCAUCCAAAACUAUUUAGCUAGAGUGUGGGAGAGGAAGAUGGAAUUAGUUGUGUAGGGGUAAAAUCCGUAGAGAUAACUAGGAAUACCAAAAGCGAAGGCAAUCUUCUGGAACACUACUGACGCUGAGGCGCGAAAGCGUGGGGAGCAAACGGGAUUAGAAACCCUAGUAGUCC